rnacentral:rRNA from 1 species
GAUGAACGCUGGCGGCGUGCCUAAUACAUGCAAGUCGAGCGAACGGACGAGAAGCUUGCUUCUCUGAUGUUAGCGGCGGACGGGUGAGUAACACGUGGAUAACCUACCUAUAAGACUGGGAUAACUUCGGGAAACCGGAGCUAAUACCGGAUGAUAUUUUGAACCGCAUGGUUCAAAAGUGAAAGACGGUCUUGCUGUCACUUAUAGAUGGAUCCGCGCUGCAUUAGCUAGUUGGUAAGGUAACGGCUUACCAAGGCAACGAUGCAUAGCCGACCUGAGAGGGUGAUCGGCCACACUGGAGCUGAGACACGGUCCAGACUCCUACGGGAGGCAGCAGUAGGGAAUCUUCCGCAAUGGGCGAAAGCCUGACGGAGCAACGCCGCGUGAGUGAUGAAGGUCUUCGGAUCGUAAAACUCUGUUAUUAGGGAAGAACAUAUGUGUAAGUAACUGUGCACAUCUUGACGGUACCUAAGCAGAAAGCCACGGCUAACUACGU